rnacentral:lncRNA from 1 species
CAAAAAUAAAGCAAAAAAUGAAAGCAACUAUUAUGUCUAUCCAUCUGCCCCUCAGUCACCUCUUUGCUCCCCUCAGGGCCAAGGUUCCAGUAGUCCUGGCUGGUUACUACCCUCCAUACCCCCAGAGCCUUUUCUGGUCUCAUCCUUCUCAUCCUUUGUGUGCCAAGUGCUGCUCUGGACUGCCUGGACACUGCCCACUAAGCCUCAAGACAGGUGCCAUAGAGAGGAACAACACAGAAGAGCCACAAAGAAUGAGUAAUUUGCUUCCAGUCACAUCUAGGGUUGGGACCAGGCAGUCAAGCUCCAGCACCUGGACCCUUGACCAGUGCUCCCCAGGACCACCUAAAUGGUCAUCAGGACUCCACAUUAUUUGCACAGGCUGUUCCCUUUUUGUCACGUCUCUUUCCUUCUUUGCCUCACCCAUUAUUGCAAAUACCACCUUUUCUAGGGAGGCAGAAGGUAUCUUCUGGGCAGCCCCCUGUGCUCCCCUGGAGGCGUUUCCCUAGCAAAUUGUGUUCUACACAAACUUUUUUCACUGUGCUUUCCACCUUUCAAGGUCCUAAACAGAGACCUUGGAAAGGGCUCAAGACACUUUUUCCACCUCUCCUUCAUUCAGGUCUUUGGAGAGCUGGAACCAGCUGUGCUGUCCUGCCUCCAAGGAUACAGUGUCUGCAUCUUCACCUAUGGCCAGACCGGGACUGGAAAGACAUACAGCAUGGAGGUGGGGUGGAGCUCACACGGGGGGGGGGGGGAGGCCUCAGAGGCUUGAAUGUGAGCCCAAUGGGGUAUUCCACACCACCUUCAGGGCCCACCUGAGGACCCAGGCAUAGCUCCCAGGGCGCUGCAGUCACUGUUCAGGGAAAUGGGGACUGGAGGGCAGCACCGUGUGACCCUCAGCAUGGUGGAGAUCUACAAUGAGGCAGUCAGGUCAGGGCUGUGCUGUAGGGGUGGUGGGCUACUAUUUGCCCUGGCCCAAGACUCCUGCUACCCUUAGAAUCCUGGAACCAAACUCUCCUGGUCUCCCCAGGGACCUCCUGGCCCCAGGACCUCCAGAGCGCCUAGCUGUGAGGCAGGGCCCAGCAGGACAGGGGGGAAUCCAAGUAGCUGGCCUCACCCACUGGGACGUGCCCAACCUGGAGACUUUGCACCAGGUAAAGAUGCCCUCUAAGGCCUCUCCUCUUGCUCCCAUCUGGGAUUGGGGACUGUGUACCAGCCGCGGCCUCAUCGCUCCUAACAGAUGUUGAGCCUGGGGAGAAGUAACCGGGCCACUGCCGCCACUUCCAUGAACCCACGCAGCUCCCGAUCCCAUGCUCUCGUUACACUGACGCUGUGUGCAGCUUCUCCACCGAGCGCCCCAGGCACUGCAGGUAGCAAACACUGCAAUGCCUGAGCUUUUGCAGGGUUUCCAGUGUGCCUGAAGCCUGGCCUCCCUUCAUGUAGGGCUUGCUCACCUUUGCAGGCACGCUGCACCUGGUGGACCUGGCGGGAUCUGAGCGUGCUUGGAAGGCGGGAGCUACUGGCACGCAGCGAGGAGAUCCCAACAGUGCCCAGCGUCUGCGGGAGGCCCAGACUAUCAACCGCUCGCUGCUGGCGCUGGGAGGCGUGAUGGCUGCGUUGCGUGCCCGCCGGUCCCACGUGCCCUUCCGCGACUCGCAGCUCACACGUCUGUUGCAGCCUGCGCUUGGUCCGGGUACCACUGCUGUGCUGCUUCUACAGGUGUGCGCCCCGGCAGCAGCGGGUGGAGUGCAGGAGGGUCCUUUGUGUGUGAAGCACCGCAGGCUGGCCCACAAGCACUUUUCCUCCUCAGAUCUCUACGCGGCCAGAGGAUCUCGGGGAGACCGUCUGUUCGCUCAAGUUUGCGGAGCGAGUGGGUCAGGUGGAGCUGGGACCAGCACGGCGCCGCAAGGCACCACGCUCCGAGACCCCAUCCUCCCUCAGUACCGACACCCCACUUACUGGGACCCCCUGCACUCCUACGAGGUCUCCUGUCAGCCCUCCAAGCCCCAGCCCUGACAGCGGCUCAUGCUCUGCCCUAGGGCCCUCAGGGGACCUUCCCCCCUAGUCUUGGGUGGAGGCCCUGCACAAGAGACCUGGGGAUAUAACUCUGCUGGCAGAGGCAGCAGUACAGUUCUUAUAUCGGGUCUCCCAAGACAAUCUUCUUGACUUCUGGGGGCCUACUUCUCUCCAAACUUCCAGAGUUGCUCCCCACAACCCCAGCCAGAGAAGAGCCUGGAGAAUUGAUUUUGCCCCACCCCACUGAGUCAGAGGCCCUCAGCUCCCUCCUUAUCACCAUUUGCCGUUAUCACAGCACACAGCAGGGGAUCCCAGAGCCACAGGAACCAGACAUGACUCUGGCCAAGGAGUUUCCCAGGUCACCACCUCUGCUCCAAAAAUAAGACUAGGCAUUAAAAUGCUGUAAAUUCUUUUAAUGUUACACCACUACCACCACUUCAAGUCUAUGUAGGGUCCAGUUUUUAUUCCCUAACCCUUUCCCCAAAAGGUGCUACCUCCUCAGACAGUUGAGGGAUGGCAGGACUUCAGGCUGGACCCACCAUUAAGGAGCUCCCUCCCCCAGCCUGGAGCCAGGAGGGAGGUGACAGAUGGUGAUGGAUGAAUAGAUAGAUGGGCUAGGCCUGAAGAUAGAAUCAUGAUUUGCUACUCCAGGUUGAGUCCUGCUCCUUUAGCAUUGCCCCUGGGUGUAGGGGGAGGCAGAGAGGCAAGACUGACCAAGCCCAGGUUGGUGCCCAGCUGAGUGGCAGCUUUUUCUGGAGCAGCCCAAUAAACAUUGUGGACUCUCAUUAAGCAAGGCUGGAGCCUAUUGGGGCUACAGACAUCUUCCUACCUUGGUUCCCCAUCAAGGAGAUGGGGAGAGAAGCAACCCCUGCUCUAGAAAGCUUCAGAGGCUGUACCAGGAAAGCAGCCAGCCUGGAGCAGGGGCAGCCAUGUCACGAGGGUGGCUGACCCACACAUCAUAGAUGCUCUUGUUGGGUGGUACUCCCUGGAAGAGAGUGUCUAGAUCCCAGAGCAGCCUUGGGGACCCUUGGGAUUCAGAGGCCACCCCCCAGUAGGCUGGGCUGGUUGAAGGUGGACACUGGGGACAGGAAGUGGAUGGUAGUGGGGCUAAAGGCAUUACCACAUUGGGUGUGUAGAUGGGCAAGUAGGAGGUGGGCAACUGUCCCCACAGGGAGGCCCUGCAUCCCCCACUGGACAGUACCCC